UAGUCCACGCCGUAAACGAUGAUAACUCGUUGCUGGCGAUACAUUGUCAGUGACCAAGCGAAAGUGUUAAGUUAUCCACCUGGGGAGUACGAUCGCAAGAUUGAAACUCAAAGGAAUUGACGGGGGCCCGCACAAGCGGAGGAACAUGUGGUUUAAUUCGAUGAUACGCGAGGAACCUUACCUGGACUUAAAUGUACGUUGCAUAGAUCAGAGAUGGUCUUUUCUUCGGACUAUGUACAAGGUGCUGCAUGGUUGUCGUCAGCUCGUGCCGUGAGGUGUCGGGUUAAGUCCCAUAACGAGCGCAACCCCUAUCCUUAGUUGCCAGCGAGUCAUGUCGGGGACUCUGAGGAGACUGCCACCGUAAGGUGUGAGGAAGGUGGGGAUGACGUCAAGUCAUCAUGGCCUUUAUGUCCAGGGCUGCACACGUCCUACAAUGCGGCGUACAAACGGAAGCUAACCCGCGAGGGUACGCAAAUCUGAAAAAGCGCCGCUCAGUUCGGAUUGC
rnacentral:rRNA from 1 species